UCGGAUCUAUGGUUAGGCAUAGGCAUUUGGCAGGGAAGUUGAAUUUAAAGUAUUCAACCCAUUCUCCUGGAGCUCCGGAGCCAAAAUUUGCCUGAAACUAACAAAACGACACAUCAUCUAUGCUUACAAACAUAAGCUCACUACAUGCCCCUUCACUAUCUUUCGUAGACUAGAAAACCCCACUGGAAUAUGCCCAAAUUUACAACAUUAAACCCUAACUGCCACAACCACCACCAACAUCACCACCAACGCCACCGCCACAGCACUUAGCUUACUCAUACAUGGUAAUGAGUGCAACCUCUAUCAGAUCCUCUGUGACAAUGUCUCACCGGACAAGCCCCGCGCAAGCUCUCCCCUUAGUUGUCACCCUCAACUGCAUCGAGGAUUGCGCCAUCGAGCAAGACUCUUUAGCCGGCGUCGCAAGCAUCGAGCACGUGCCGCUCAGUCGCCUAGCUGAUGGCAAGAUUGAAUCAGCUGCCGCGGUGCUUCUCCACUCUCUCGCUUACCUCCCUCGUGCCGCCCAGCGCCGCCUACGUCCCAACCAGCUCAUCCUAUGCCUUGGUUCGGCUGACCGUGCCGUAGACUCGGCUCUUGCCGCUGACCUGGGGCUCCGUCUUGUUCAUGUGGACACCUCGCGGGCCGAAGAGAUCGCGGAUACAGUGAUGGCUCUGUUCCUUGGCUUGCUGCGUCGGACGCAUUUGCUCUCCCGCCACGCGCUCUCUGCUUCAGGAUGGCUUGGCUCCGUACAGCCGCUUUGUCGGGGAAUGAGAAGAUGUAGAGGACUGGUUUUGGGUAUUGUUGGUAGAUCUGCAUCGGCGAGGUCCUUGGCUACUAGGAGCUUGGCUUUCAAGAUCAGUGUGCUAUAUUUUGAUGUUCACGAGGGAAAAGGAAAAGUAAGUAGAUCUUCCAUAAGAUUUCCACCUGCAGCCAGAAGAAUGGAUACUCUUAAUGAUUUACUUGCUGCAAGUGACCUUAUCUCACUUCAUUGUGCUUUAACAAAUGAAACAGUUCAGAUCAUCAAUGCAGAAUGUUUGCAGCAUAUAAAGCCAGGGGCAUUCCUGGUGAAUACCGGCAGCAGUCAGCUACUGGAUGACUGUGCUUUGAAGCAGCUUCUGAUUGAUGGGACCUUGGCUGGAUGUGCCCUGGAUGGUGCUGAAGGACCUCAGUGGAUGGAAGCAUGGGUAAAGGAAAUGCCCAAUGUAUUGAUACUUCCACGCAGUGCAGAUUAUAGUGAAGAAGUGUGGAUGGAGAUAAGGGAGAAAGCCAUCUCUUUACUGCAGUCUUUCUUCUUUGAUGGGGUUAUACCAAAGGAUGCCAUCUCUGAUGAGGAGGAGGAAAGUGAACUAGCUGAUGAAAGUGAAGAAUUUCUCAAACAAGACAAUGCAAGUGCUCUACAGGCUUCUGUGGGUGAGAAGUUGAAGGAUGAUAUUUUGUUAAGUCCGGAAAGCUCCAACAGAAAGGGAAAUAAUCAAUCAACUGAAUCUUCAUAUCCAGCUAAGAGUUCUGGCUUGUCUCAAACAGCUGUAAGGUCUGAAGGAAGAAGCAGCAGAUCAGGUAAGAAGGCAAAAAAAAGACAUGGCCGUCAAAAAUCCUUGCAGAAAUCAGAUGAUCCUCGCCAAUUAGAAAAUGAAAGCAAUUCAAAUCGAGAAGAUGAUACUGCUAUGAGUGGUACUGAUCAAGUGCUAAGUUCUGGUUCCCGAUUUGGUUCCCCUGAAGACUCAAGUAGCAGGAAGACGCCAAUAGCAUCAAUGCAAGAAUCAACUUCUGACCAGCUUUUACUAUCAAGCAAGAAUCUUAGCAGAAAGUCUGGUGAACUGCUGAAAGAUGGGUGUGUUAUUGCUUUAUAUGCAAGAGAUCAACCUGCACUCCAUGUUUCAAGGCAGAGAGUUAAAGGGGGUGGUUGGUUCCUGGAUGCCAUGUCGAAUGUAACUAAAAGAGAUCCUGCAGCACAGUUCCUUGUUGUUUUCAGAAGCAAGGACACUGUUGGGUUGCGUUCUUUUGCUGCUGGUGGAAAGUUGUUGCAGAUUAACAGAAGAAUGGAAUUUGUAUUUGCUAGUCACAGCUUUGAUGUGUGGGAGAGUUGGAUGUUGGAAGGUUCUUUGGAGGAAUGUAGGCUGGUUAACUGCAGAAAUCCUUUGGCUAUUUUGGAUGUACGCGUUGAGAUUCUGGCAGUGGUAGGGGAAGAUGAUGGAGUUACGCGUUGGCUUGAUUAGGCUGUGAAAGCAGGAGUGACCGUGUGAAGAUACCUAAUUUUUUUUCUCCAGCGAAUUUUGUGAUUAUUCUGAGGUUUGUGUUUCCUCGAAACAAUUUGUAAAUCAUUCUUUCUCUCCUUAUGGUCUCCUACUAUUUUUUUCCCCUUUUCUCGUUGCCUUUUCUUUUUUUCUUUUUGAGAGGUUACCAGCUGCGCAGAAUUCAGUCUUGUGGGUUGUUUGGCCUCUCGUCAAAUUGAUGUAUUCUAUAAUGUAAACACAGUGAUGUCACAACUUGGUCUUUAUCAUGC